AGAACGAACGCUGGCGGCAGGCUUAACACAUGCAAGUCGAGCGCCCCGCAAGGGGAGCGGCAGACGGGUGAGUAACGCGUGGGAACAUACCCUCCGGUUCGGAAUAGCUCAGGGAAACUUGGAUUAAUACCGGAUACGGCCUAGCGGCGAAAGAUUCAUCGCCGGAGGAUUGGCCCGCGUCUGAUUAGCUAGUUGGUGGGGUAAUGGCCCACCAAGGCGACGAUCAGUAGCUGGUCUGAGAGGAUGAUCAGCCACAUUGGGACUGAGACACGGCCCAAACUCCUACGGGAGGCAGCAGUGGGGAAUAUUGGACAAUGGGCGCAAGCCUGAUCCAGCCAUGCCGCGUGAGUGAUGACGGCCUUAGGGUUGUAAAGCUCUUUCGACGGGGACGAUAAUGACGGUACCCGUAGAAGAAGCUCCGGCUAACUUCGUGCCAGCAGCCGC
rnacentral:rRNA from 1 species